rnacentral:lncRNA from 1 species
AGAGGUAAUUUACUUUAACAUUUUCAAAAGAAGAUUCAUAUCCAUAUUGCGAAGAAACAAAGAACAAAACCUUCACUCCAAACUUCUCUACCUGGCUGCAAAGUAUUUGAAGGGAAAGGUCGCUAAGGGAACUAUUCUCAUAGAUCACAGAACUGUUACUGGGUGUGGCCAGGGGGCUGCAGACACAAGGCGAAUGGGCAUACCGCAUAAGACUGGGAGAUCUAAGGCUGGAGCUGCUCAACUCUCCGGAGACCUGACUCCAGCCUCUCGUCACACUGGCUAGAAGUCAAGCAUGAAUGCAAAACCCCACAAAAGUUUUCCGCAGUUGCAGCCUCCAGUUCCUCUGCUCCCAUUCUCCUACAUCCACGAAAAUUGGUGCUUGCCAAGAUCGCUGAAGGCCUCCACGCUGAAGGACUCCUCCAGUGGUCAACUCUGCCUUUACCGUAGUUAACACUGCAGCGGGAUCUGAACAGUGCUUCGCCUCCGUGUACAACUGGACUCCUGCGUGCCUGCAUGCUCACACUGCUUCUCCCUCUCCCUCCUAGGCACUGCUCAGGCCUCACGGCCGCAAUCGCCCCAUCUCGCCCAUGCCAGUCUUGCUCCUCCCAGUCACUCUGCACUCACUCCCCGGCCACCUCACAGAGUUAAGUGGCAUCUACAUGCUGAGGGCUGUACAUCUAAGUCCCUGGCCAGACCUGUCUCUCCAGACUUGACACUCCGCUUGUCUGCAUGAUACCCAGCCGAACCAAACAUCAUCUUCCCAAAACUGCAUCUGCAGACGGUUUCCUAUCUAACCUGCAACAACCCACCCUUCCAGGAACUUCCAGUCGCCACCCUCAUUUCCUCUUACACACCCCACAUUCAGUCCACCAGGAAAUCCUACUGACCCAGCU